CCUACGGGUGACAGCAGUGGGGAAUAUUGCGCAAUGGGCGAAAGCCUGAUGGAGCAACGCCGCGUGCAGGAUGAAGGCCUUCGGGUUGUAAACUGCUUUUAUAAGCGAGAAAUAUGAUGGUAACUUAUGAAUAAGGAUCGGCUAACUACGUGCCAGCAGCCGCGGUCAUACGUAGGAUCCGAGCAUUAUCCGGAGUGACUGGGUGUAAAGAGUUGCGUAGGUGGCAUAAUAAGUAGCUAGUGAAAUCUGGUGGCUCAACCAUUCAGACUAUUAGCUAAACUGUUAAGCUCGAGACCGUUAGGGGUAACUGGAAUUUCUAGUGUAGGAGUGAAAUCCGUAGAUAUUAGAAGGAACACCAAUAGCGUAGGCAGGUUGCUGGGACGGUUCUGACACUAAGGCACGAAAGCGUAGGGAGCAAACGGGAUUAGAUACCCGGGUAGUC
rnacentral:rRNA from 1 species